rnacentral:rRNA from 1 species
AUUGAACGCUGGCGGCAGGCUUAACACAUGCAAGUCGAGCGAGCGGCGGACGGGUGAGUAAUGUCUGGGAAACUGCCUGAUGGAGGGGGAUAACUACUGGAAACGGUAGCUAAUACCGCAUACCAUCAGAUGUGCCCAGAUGGGAUUAGCUAGUAGGUGGGGUAAUGGCUCACCUAGGCGACGAUCCCUAGCUGGUCUGAGAGGAUGACCAGCCACCCGGGAACUGAGACACGGUCCAGACUCCUGCGGGAGGCAGCAGUGGGGAAUAGUGCACAAUGGGCGCAAGCCUGAUGAAGCCAUGCAGAGUGUGUGAAGAAGGCCUUCGGUGUGUAAAGAACGUUCAGCGGGGAGGCGGUACUCGAAGAAGAAGCACCGGCUAACUCCGUGCCAGCAGCCGCGGUAAGAC